AUGAAGUUCUCUCUCCUGCCUCAGUGGAUAAGGAUUCAAAGAAGGAGCAGUUUUAAGCUGCAUUUUUGCCAUGUUCUGUUGAGGAUCUCUAGAGGUUCAGUUGAUCACCCACCCGCAUCUAAGCACAGAUUCCAGUCCUUGUCCGUAGAGGAAAACAGUGAUCCAUUGCUUACCAAAAUUUGUCAGAUCCUAUCAAUGAGGGAAGUCUGCUCUGAGCAAAAGUUCAAACAUUUCGUGAACAACUGGAGAUCUUCUGAACUGAUAACUUAACUGAUAACUUAGUCCAAGGAGAACA
rnacentral:lncRNA from 1 species